GUGACUUUUUGGACAAUUUUAUAGUACAUUUUUUUUUUUAAUCGAGUUAUUGACCUUAGUACAAUAGAUAUUUUAAUGUACGAAGGGGAUAUAAAUGUCACUGAGUUUUAUAUUCGGACUACCAAAAAUAUAAGAAAGGCACGUACAUGGCGCCGCCGCAAAAUUGGUCGAUAAGAGAUCCGGUCCGGAAGUCCGGUUAGAGUCCGGUUAAUGGAUAAUGUGUUUGGGUCGGUGUGGUGUGGUGUGGUCUGUGGUGCGAGACCCCACGAAAUAGACGGACCACGGAAGAAGCCUACGAAGGAGGUGUGGACUCUGUUGGGUCCACCCACUUUUAGCUAGACUUUGGAUCUAUGUGUUGUUGUACCCAACUUAUUUGUUUCAUAGCUUCGAAUUCUCACCUAAAAUCCAAAUCAGUUUAAAUCAACGAAUUAAAUUUUACUUAAAUUUUCCUUUGUAUUGUUUACUUUACAAUUUAAUAUAAAAAAUACAACAAAUGUGCAUCCAGUAAAUUCUUAUAUACAUCACGUCUAAAAGGAUUUUAUAUUUUUAUAUAUUUAAACAAAAGUUAAUCCUACAUCUAUAAACAAUCAUAUACCUUUUUCUAUAUCAAGUAUAUUACUCGACAAAUAAUACAAUCAUAUGCAUCCACUUAAAAAAGUAUAUACAUCACUUCAAACAAGAUAAUAUAUAUUUUUAGCCGCACUUAACUAUAAUUUAUGGUUUUACUUCUCACUAAUUUAACAUAAUUUUAAGAGCAAAAUAAAUACAACUUUUAUUUUAAAAUAGAGUUAGUAUAUAAGUGUAAAAUUUAAUUAGUUUGUCACAAUUAUUACAGCAUAACUGUAAGAGCAUUAUUUUUAACUGAGUAGAUUAAUAAUUAAUUCGUUAAAAUCAGGAAGAAAAUAAUAGAUGUUAAAAAAACAUUACACGCCUAAGAUUUGGAAAAAUAAGGGUGCAAGUCACAUGAAGCUCCAUACUUCAUUCUUCAUCUUUGAUGAUAUUUUUGUAAUAAAAAGAAAAUGGAGUUUAUUCUUAAGGUUUUUUUUUUUUUUUUUUUGAGACCCUACUCUAUUCUGUUCAUUUUCUUAUAACCCCAAACAACAAAACAUUGCUACGGAAACAUCUAUUUUUUCGUGUGGAAGUUAGCAUGAAGAUGGCAUAAUAAAUAAAAAAAUAUAUAUCGUCAAGUAUGGGAUGCUUAUGCUAGCCCUUUAGCCAAUAUAUAGAUAAACAAGUAGAGAGAAUAUAUAUUUAACUAGAUGUAUUAAAAGGGAUUGAAGAUCCGAGAAGGCGAGAUGGGUUUCUAGGUUGCGGUGGUUCAUUUUUUGAUGAAGCUUCUGGCUUAAGGUUGGGUUGAGUGGUGCUAUGAAUUGGCGGUUCCUCUCCUCGUCACGACAUGGCCUUCGAUUUUAGUCUCUUCUCAUAUCUGAUUUUCUCGAGAACAAAAUCUGUUUUGUGGAGGAGCUACCGGUGCUUAUCGAGGUGGUGUUUUUGGAGAGGCAAGUUUCUCGUUUCUGGAAGUGGUGGCGGAUGGAUCUGCUUUAAGAGUUGGUGUGGUGGUCUCUUGCGGAUGUUAGGUUGUGGCUUUGUCUGUUGUUGGCCGCCGCCGGUGGUUGCGAGGUGACAGAGACUUUUCGUUUCUGUUCCUUGUCGGGUUGAAACUCAUAUUGCCUUUCUCUUAUCGGAUGGUUUUAGCUGUUUGUUUGUGUUAGCUUCUGGUAGUUGUUGGUUUAGUCUUUGGAAUUGCUGGGUCAUGGUUUUGCUCUUUGUUAUAUCUAGAAAGCUCCGGGGAUUGGUCGUGUUGGCUAGUUGUGGAUAGCUUUCGCAUUAUCUCUUCUUUGUUCUUUGUUCAUUGAAUCUUUUAAGUGUGUCUCCUUCCACCGCCUCUAGUUUAGAUUAAUAAGUAGGUUUUCUCUCGUGGUCUGUUCCUUUUCUGUUCUUGUAAGGCUAACCUCUUGUGGGGAUGCAAAGUUCUAGAUUUAGACUUGUUCGUUAGAAGACUAAGUGGUUAGGUAUUAGAUUCGCGGCGUUUUCAUAUGUUUGGGAUAAUCGUUUUUAGUUGGGAUAUGUCUUCGCGGUUUCCACUAUCCCUGGUCCUUCUCCAUUUGCGGUGGUAGGUCCUCUAGCUUGCGACCUUUGAGCUCUUAUUUCCGCGGUUUCUAUUCUCCUCCGACUUUUUCGAUGAUUUCGAGAGCUUCACUUCUUGACUUUAGUAUAUUUUCUUAUGUUUCCCGUGUAUCGGGCUUUAGCUUCCGGGGAUUUCUUUGUUUUCCGCCGGUAUUGUAUUUCGAAAACGCAUCCCAAAAACGUAUUCCACCCAUGUAUUCCACUCUUGUAUUAUAUAAUGAAAAUCUUUCGGUGAAAAAAAAAAAAUGUAUUAAAAGGGAAAAGAUAUCGACGAGGAUGGAUCAAUGACGAAAGAACAAGGAGGAAUUAAGAGAGGGAAGAAAACAAACAAACCAAAAUAAAAGAGAAUAGAGAUAAAGAGAUCAUAAGGAAAAGAAAACAUGUUUGGUCCCCUUUGGCAUCACAUCAAUCUUGACUCUUGACCACAAUCCAUAAUAUUGUAGGCAAAUGCAAUGGUCGACACCCAAAUUUGUAUCCCGUCAUAUAUAUUAUAUAUAUUUGACAGGAUUUUAUAAGAUAAGAUGACAUUUCAACUUAAUAAAAUUAAAUAAACCAUGGUAAAAGAAAAUUCCAACUAACCCGUAGUCCUACCAAUUUUAAAAAUCAAGUGCUUCUUAUUUUCUCAAAUCAAACUAAUUAUAUACAAAAACCUAAAAAGCUCAUGCUUUUAAUUAAAUGGAUUUUGUUUUCUUCUAAAUAGACUGAAAACAACAUAUAAUUAUGUAACAUUAUUCAAAAUAUAUUUUUAAAAUACUGAAUCGACACUUAUUUUUACAUAAUAUUAUGAUAUUAUAUGUAAAUAUAUUGAUAUACUAUUAUAUUACAUAAUAUUACACCGUUUAAUCUGAUUAAAAUUUAAGUUAAUAAGUUUGUUCUAUUACCCAUGAAAUAACAAUAUUUUACAACAGUAUAUGCAAAAAAAAAUUUGGCAACCAUAUAUUAAUUAAAAAAUCACUCUACAUUUGGAAAAAACGUGUUUAUAACAAAUAUAUUGCAAAUUAUAAUAAUGAUAAUUUUGUCAAAUCACGCCAAAAAUGAGUUAUACUUAUUUACAGAUUUGGUAGUGACGUUAUCUACGUAGGUCAUUUUGCAAAGAAUCAAUUAUGGAUUUGCCAUUUUUUUUAUGGCAUUUGUGGAUUUUGCAAUUUUUUGAAUAGUUUACGGAUUUUGUUUUUUUAGGCUACGGAAAUAUGAUUUAAUAUGCGUUUUAUUCAUCAUGUUUGAGUUUAGUCGGUUGUGGUUGUUCUUAGGAUUUAGUAUUUUGUAUAAACUACGUAUUUUUACCAAAAAAAAUCUGAAUACGUAUAUUUUUAAAUGUUAGAAAAUGACAUAUCCAUAAAAUUUUAGUAAAAAUAGCAAUUUCAAAAAAAAUUUAUGAAAAAUGACAAAAUCAACAAUAAUCCUUUUUGUUUUUGUCCUUUUUAGCCUAGUGGUAUAUAAAUGCCACUUUAAACUCAGCUUUAAUUUGAACUCACUCAUUUCGAAAUUGACAUGAAAGAUCAAAAAUAUCUGUCCAAUCAACUACUGCCUUCAGGCUUCAGAUUGACAUCUACAUUUUAGCUGAAUCUAUAUUUUUAACUCAAUAUCUGCUUAAAAUUAUUUAAACAUAUAUUAAUGAAUUAAUUACGGAUUUUGCCAUUUUUUAUAAUGGCAUUUAUAGAUUUUGCCUUUUUUUGAAUAGUUUGUGGAUUUUGUCUUUUUUUAAGCUCCAAAAAUAUGAUUUAACAUGCGUUUCAUUCGUUAUGUUUGGGUUUAGUCGGUUCUAUUUAUUUUUAGGGUUUAGUAUUUGGUAUAAUGUACGUAAUUUUGCAAAAAAAAAUCAUAAAUACGUACUUUUUUAAGUGUUAAAAAAUAGCAAAAUCCAUAAACUAUUCAAAAAAAGCAUUUUCAUAAGUUUUUUUUAAAAAAGGGCAUUUUAGACAAUAAUCCCUAUAUUAAUUCGCUUAAUUAAACACGUAAUGCCAUGAAAUGAAUACUGUAAAAGGCUUCAGAAUUUUCUUUUUUUUUUAAGAAAAAUAAAACAGUAUUGAAGAAGGACAAAAACAAAAAUCACAAAAUAGCAAGCUAUAUGAUACACAAGUUUUAUCUACCAAAAGUUGCCAACAUCAACAUAUAUUCUUAUAUUAGAGAUUGUGUAGAUAACGAAAAAAGUACAAUACAAAUGACCAAACAUGCCUUUAUUUUAGGAAUAUAUGGUCCCAAAUAACACAGUAUAACUCACUGUUCUUCUCUGUUUCAUUCCUUGUUUUUAGACUUACGAUAAUGUUCACACAAAUAUAUUCCAUAUCAUUGUGGACAAAAAAAAAAAAAAAAAUCCAUCUCUAAGUAAUAAAUACAAAUGUAUUUUUGGUUAAUGAUGUAGAAAUAACCAUAUUGGUAAAAGGUAUUAGAUACGGAGAAGAAAUUGUUCAUAAAUUAGACCUCAAUUAUUGAACAUUUAUUCUCAUCAGAAUGUUCUAGUUAAAUAAUAAUUAUAAGUUUUAUUUACAGUCACAGAUUAAACCUAUCCAAAUGAGAACAAAGUUAAUUUGAAACUAAAGAAAAAUCUAAAAUAUAAUAAUGAGAUCAGAUGAAAGUACCUGCUGUGACUUUGUGAAGAGAUGACGAAACGAAGAAGAAGAGAAGAAGACGACGAGAACAGAAAAACGAAAGAGCGAUAGCAAUUAAUGCUUCUUUGGGUGUCUUGUGAAUGUGAAUGUGAGCUUUUUUUUUGGAAGGUCGAAAAAACAAAUCUCUUUCUUCCUCUGGCCCUUUUGCUUCUCCAUUUAUAUUUGUGUUUACAUUCACAUGUAAUAUUAUCAUAUACUUAGGCCCGGCUCAAAAAUAAUUUA
rnacentral:lncRNA from 1 species